GCCGAGGUAGCUAAGCCAGGUUCAAGGCGGCAGGCUCGAGACCUGUUGGUGCUUUGCACCACGGGAGUUCAAAUCUCCCCCUCGGCG
rnacentral:tRNA from 1 species